AUGAGAGGAGAGGGUGUGCCCCCACCCCACCCCCACCCCACCCCCAAGAUGAGAGAAGGUGGAACCAGCGGGGGCUGCCGAGGGCUUGAAAUAAAUGCAUUCUGAAAAGAAGGGCUGUCUUCCCCUCCAGGCUCCAGGCCAAAUCUCCAAAUGAAAUCAGGCCGGGGAGAAAUGAACAACUGAGAUGCACAAAACAAUGUGAAGAAGAAACGAAUAAUAAUAUAUAAAAAAAAAAGGUUACCUGUCUGGAUGGAUCCUUCUUGCCUCUUGGAAAUAUAUCGAAUACUCUUGCCACGCCUCCUUUUUCCUCCCUCCCACAUCCCACUGCGGGGGCAGCCUCAUUCCUAGCCUACCCGUCACCACUUCUAAGAUACCUCUCUUGAUCACCCAGAUCACCUCCACUCUUAUAUCAUCGCAUUUGUACCCUCAUGUGGUGCUUCCCUCCAAGGCACCUGUGGCACCAUGGUCUUCUGAGAAUGCGUCUUAUCUUUUUCCCCAGCUUGUGAGCUUCAUCAGGGUGAGAGCUAAGUCUUGUACAAUUUGUACCUUUGGAUAUAACAGCCCUCAGACAAUGGUUUACGCAUGAAAAAAUAAUCACAAGAUAGCCAAGACUUUCAGUGAUAUGCAAAUGAAAGACUUGGCUUAGGAGUCAUCAUUAAAGUCUAUUUGACUGUUUUCUGCCAGCUGGGCAUCGUGAGGCAGCUCCUGCGUCUUGGAGGGCCGCUCACGGGGUUUAUCUGUAAGGCUGUAUGGGUGGGACCUGGAAACACAGACUUGUGGUGCUUUGGGUUGUGUAUUCUCUGUCCACUGAGGGGAUAAAAGCCCAGACCUCUGACAGGCUAACCUGUCAGGUAGAAGAAGUAAGCUAGGCAGGUGCAUUUGGGGAGCUCUUCAAAUUGAGCUCUCUUGGCUUUUUGCCCACAUUCAGCCCCUCCACACCAGGCCAAAUUGUAGGCUGAAGCCAGUGGAGAAAGUAAUGGAUUGGAACCAGGAUGCUCAGGUUAAGUGGGCCGCUUUGUGGAGCUCAUCCAUAAUCCUGCUGGAGCCUAGAGAACAAUACGUUAAUUAGAGCCGACAGCACUGCUCCCACCAGCCAUCCAUCCUGCCUGUGUCUGCAGGGCCUUCCCCAUGGACACGCCAGCCCACUCCCUUCUCUGAAAGAGAUUUAUUCAUUAUCAAUGUUUGUCUGUGAGAGGGACCCAGUGGGGAGGGAACGGGAUUCUAAAGGGGCCAGGAUAUGAAAGAGGCAGAGCUGAGGCCGCUGGCAGCUUGAACAAUGGGUGUGUUUGGGGGCUGGAGAUGGGGUGUUCCCAAUUAGGAGGAUGAGGCAAGUCCAUUGCAUUGGACAGGGGAAGAGGUAAGCCAAAUGGAAUUAGAAGAAAUUCAGUAAAUGUGUCCAACAAGUGGUCCUUGUAGGAGUUUUAGCUUUGGAUCUAGCUCACUUUAAGCCACAGAUGGCGGGGGGUGGGGGGGUGGGGAAGACGAUAGAGAACAGAUGAAUCCCAUUUAUCUAAGGUCUACCCUAGUGGUUGUAUUUCAGAAGCACUCAAAAAGUGCUUGUUGAGUGAAUAAAUGUCUUUCAUGGCAGCCA
rnacentral:lncRNA from 12 species